rnacentral:lncRNA from 1 species
UGAAUAAAAGGGGAGGAGCAGGGAGAGAAAGUGAAAUGAGAGGUGGUGGGGUGGGUGAGGAGCGAGGAAGCUGGAAAAAUAAGAGGAAACAGCUGGGAGCUAGGAAGUUGGGGAGGGACUUAAUGUAAGGUCAGUAAAACAGCUUGCAGAGGACAGGGUCAGGCCUGGGGGUAAAGGGCUAAGUAACUUCUGUCAACUAGUUGAGCAGAGCUUUGUGUGCUUUAUUUUGGAGACUAAAAUUACUUCAGAGGAAACAUCUAGAUUCUCUGAAUCUGAUCCAUUUUCCCUGUGUAUCAUAGUAAAUUGUUCACCAAGUCAGAAUCUAUCCUGCCCUCUAGGAAUUGUCCUCUUCAGGUCUAGCAAAGAGCUUGCUGCCACGGUUCAGGAAAUCAAGGGUGAAAUGCUUCACGUAGUAGUAGUGGAUAGCAGGCCAAUGAAAGGAAGAGGAAGGAGCACCAAUUCAGAAAGAGGGAGUUAUAAGAUCUGCAAUGUAUUAACAUGGUAACUCUUUGAAGCCUAAGAGAAACAGAAUCCUAUUUGAACCAUGGAGUCUGAGAUGAAGACGAAAUUGAGAUGUUUCUGUUGGAAUUUGGGUAAAGAGCGUUUAUUCAAUAUGUAUGUUCUUGCUCUGCCCCAGUCUUCUCAAGAGCUUCUGGACAGCCAUUAACAAGCACCAUUUUAAAAUUUUUUAUUUUUUUGCAAAUGGAUCAUUUUUUCGGUGAUGGAGAUGGAUGACUACUAGCACAAUGUGUGUAGUGUCAUUAUAUCCCUGUUUUAACCAGUGGAAUAUAUUUGGGGUGGAGGCUACACCACUGGAAAGAGCUUUUCCUUUGUACCAGAGUACCUGCUUAUGUAAGGAUUUAUGUUUUUGACUAUUAGCAUGAUGUCACUGAACUAAGCUUUCUAGUUUGGUUCAGCCCCACGAAGUUUGCGUGACCUGUCAACUUUUUUCAAGCUCAGCCAUCACCCUGGGCUUGGGGCAUCUGAGGGCAGGGAGGAACAGGUGUCCAAAGGAGAAAUGCUGGUGCCUGAGAGCAAUGUUUUCCAGUUGUAUUAAAUUUCUUACUUGGUGUAUUUUUGACCUGUCUUAGUUUCUUUCCUUCUUGUGUCCUAUGCUGUUUCGCUUGCUAUUUGUUGUAUGUCCUCUAUCAGCCAUUUAGGAGUUGUAAAAUGGAAGGUAUUUCUACUCAAAUGUUUUAUGGGUGGAACUGAAAGGUUAAGCAUGGUGUGUAGUAGCUUCCUUCAGGAAGAGUGAAGGUGAUAAAUGUGUUAACCAUGGCUUUGGAUAGGUUUUGGGUAUCUGGGGCAUAUGGCCCUUCUUAGAAACAAAGGAGUAUUUCAGGACUCUCAACUACCAGUAGGUCUGCUAGGGAAAUGGGUAGAUUUAUUCCCUGUCCCUUUGUUCUCCGUGACUAUGUUCAAGCUGUUAAAGGAUUUAAAUUGGUAUUUGCGGGGGGGGGGGGGGGGGUCUUUGUUGUUUCUCCUUCCUCACCUUACCAGUUAAGACAGAAAUAACUAGUGAUGACACUUUAGGUGGUGGAAUUGAAACACAAACCCAACUUCUGACCACAUGGGCCACAGGCAGUUGGCUUAAAGCCCUUGGUGUGGGGAGGUGGGAAGGGCGGAUUAACUUCUGCUUUCUUCUCAGAGAGGCUUGGUUGUUUUUGUUUUUGUGUCUCUCUUGUGUGUGUGGGAGGGGGUGUGGGGUGGAGGUGUUGGUGGGGUGGUUGUUACCUUUGGUUUGGUCUGGUAGAGUGUGUGUCCUUUCUCUUCAGUUGCACUGAGGCUGUUAAUGAAGGGUAUCAUUUCUCUAGCUGAUAUUUUUGGUAAAUAUUGCAGUCUUGAUUUUUACUAGUAGAUCUGUUAGUUCCAGCUUUCUUGCAUGAAGCAUUAGUUCUUAACUGCGAAUUUGAAGCUGCUCCUAAGUAGAUGGUCUCUAUGAAAAGUUUUGGAUUUGACUCGGUUUUGCUUUAUUGAGCAGUCUUUCUUGGGAAAAGUAAUUGACAAUAGCAGAGAUGGUUUCUAUUCCUCAGCUUCUGAAUCUAAUCUUAAUGUACUCACACGAUUUUAAAGUCCUUUUAAAAAUGGGAAGGAACUAUCCUGUUACUUUCUAAUGUUUGCUAAAAGUUGCUUUGGAAAUGCUAAUCUUAAUAGGUCUCUUCCUUUGUCAUGUGUCAUUAGCCUUUUGGCUGUUUACCU